rnacentral:misc_RNA from 1 species
GUAGGUGAACCUGCGGAAGGAUCAUUAGUGAACGCCUCCGGGCUUAUCCAACCAACCUCUGUGAACUGUGGCCCCCGGGCCUCUACAAACAUCAGUGUCCUGAACGUCAUCAUUCAUAAUCAAAUAAAACUUUCAACAACGGAUCUCUUGGCUCUC